CGAAUCUGCCCUUGAGAGGGAAACAACCUGCCGAAAGGCGGGCUAAUGUCCCAUAAGACCACAGGAUGGCAUCAUCCAGGGGUCAAAGCUCCGCAAGGGGCGCUUGAGGAGGAGCCCGAGUCCUAUCAUGGUAGUUGGUGAGGUAACGGCUCACCAAGCCUUUGACGGGUAGCCGGCCUGAAAGGGUGAUCGGCCACACUGGCACUGAGACACGGGCCAG
rnacentral:rRNA from 1 species